AUGAUUCCAAUGGGCCUCUGAGUGACAUGGGCCCUACAAAAAAAUUUAGAGGAUAUUUGGAUUGGUCUGGAUUGGGGGGGCAGUGUGAUAUGCUUUCAUAGGGCCCAAAAUCUCUAGCGGCACCGCUGUCUAUAUCAGAUUCGCCUUGGCUAUAGGGCCAGAGAAACACCCCCUUAAAUUAAAUUCAGUUAUGAACCAAGUGACUUAAAAUAAGUGAAAUAAAUUUACUUUUUUUGUCAUUUAUAAACACACACAUUUUAUCUUUUUUGGAAAAAAAGUAACGUCAUUUGUACUGUAAUCUUUUGAGUAUUGCAUUAUUAUUACUCUUCCGUACUGGUGGGACUGAAUGGUUUUCUGCACUCGGAGGCAUUUGGCCAUAGAAUGUGGGAACAGAAUGCAAGCAGUGAUUUUGUUGUGUUGUAGACAUUUUUGCCCCUGGCAUUAAAAUAAAGAGAUCUUGAUGACCCACACUAAAAGAUUUCUGAUGCAUAUAAAUGAAAAAAAAAUAUAUAUAUUUUUUUUGGUUUUUAAAAUAUAAUCCAAGAUAUCAUUUGAGUAGAUGCUUGUUUAUUUUACUCUGGGCAGGGGUGGGGGGCACGCUAUGCUUAGCUGGUUCAGGAUUUGUCUUCAUUCGAAAUGGCUUAUCUAUUUAUUUAAAAGUAAAUUACAUAUUUUUAGUUUUUUUUUUGGUUUAAAAAUUGUGAAUAAUACAAAGCACAGUGUGACAUUUCCUCCUGUGUCUGCUAAUGUGCAGUGACUGCCUCCUGAAUAUUUUGACGCGGUGCAACAUAUUUUUAUAUAUUUGUUUUUAGAACAGUUUAAAUGUAGUUUGUAAUCUUUUUGGAAUGGGCGCCAAGCUUGUUAUUUUUUUUAAUAAACUGAACUUUUAUUAGUAGAACAGAUGGUAGUGAAAAAAUGGUUGGAUGUUAGUCAUUUUUAUCACGUUAUUUUGUGUCUCUUGGUCCUUGAUCUCUACAUUUUUACUUGUAAACUUCUUGCUCGUUAAUAUGAUGUCACAUGUGUGAUUUUAUAAUAUUAGUCAGCAUUGUACUAUGUUUAGUAUUUCUAACUUUAAACAUUAUCUGGGCUUGUAUUACAGGCCUGCUCCAACCCAUUUUCAUGUGAUUAUUUAGUAAUAUUAAAAAACUAAUAAAUAAAAAAGCUGCUUAAUUGUACUUUUAUGGGAUGCUGUAACAAGGCAACAAGAAGAACUAUUUAUCUGCUGCAAGUAAAACUGCAAAUAUUGAGUGAAAGUUGAGCAACAGACAUCAAAAAGCAUGAAAACUCUUCUAUAUCACCGAUAAACGAAUUUUUUAUAUUACUUUCUCAAACUUGGCUUUUCAUUCAAGUAUCAUAUUUAUUUAUAGUAUGGAGUCGAGUCACAUUUAAUGUAGCUUUGACACCCACACACUGGUUCACAAUAUUCUUUAUCAGGCACCAAUGGGAAAGGCAUUUUUCUCCCAUGAAUUGCCUCUUUGGUUUUGGGUAAUACUGCUAAAGAACAUCUACCACUGAUGAAAAUGCACGUUACUUCGAGGCCUGUUUCAUUUAAGGUGCAUCAGAUUUUUUUUUGUACAGCCGUUUUAUCAAAAAAUAAAGGAUUUAAUAAUAAAAAAUAUUCAGAAGCAUAACUUGAUAAGGCCGAGCGUAGAAUGAGAUGCAUCUAAAAACAAUGAAGCUGCCCUCAGAUUCAGGAAUGCUUGCAUACAUUAGCCGGCCCGCGUUGCCUGAGGCGGCAGCUGGUUCUGUGCAUUUCUCUACCCCGUAUGUCUUAUCCACUCACCCCCCAUCCUUUGAGAAAACUCCCUCCCUGAUUUCAUAUCGUUUUUAAAUUUAUGGAACGUUCACUGUGUGUGGUCUUUGGAAGGGAACUGAUGAACUGCAGGACCUUCCGCGGUUGUCUGGGGAUACAGACGGAAUAUUCCAUGAUGCGGAGGUAUUACCGGCCAAUGCAGAACUUGCUCUUGACUUUUAAUUCCAUUCUGCAUCCCUGUAUUAAUUGCCCUCACGCAGUUUGUGUUUACCUAAGUAUUUACCUAAGCGUGUGCAAAUUAAAAUAGACACAUGGCCAAACCUGUUCCUGCCUGAAUUUGAAUUGAACUCCACUAACUGGCGUCUACCAUGCUGGGUUCGCUGCUGUUAAAUGGGAGGGAAAUGAUCUCAGGUGCCUUUUCGAGGUGUGUGACACGUGUGGAGGCUUGAUUCACGCGAAUUAAAACGGAAAAUGGCAUUUGAUGCUCGGUUUACCCAAGUAGCAGUUCUGCUGUAAACUCCCUUUGCCGUGAAGCCCCCCGCCAACCCCCCCCCCCACACACACACACACACACACACACACACCGAACAACAGGAAAAUAAACCUUCUGCUUCAGGCUUCCUUUCCGUUCUGCCUGUACUUCAGGAGCACAGAAAGCCAGUGGCCUUUUCAGACCCUGAAUACCAAAUACACAUAUCAAGUGUUGAAUUAUGCAUCUUCAACCGGAGAUAAUAAUCACUGGUAUCGGAACAGAGCCGCUUUGUCCUGUGAAACAGAAAGGCCGCACGCUGAAGAGCUUUCUAUUAUUCCAUUGAAAUUGAAAGUUCGUCCCAACAUUCAGCAGGUUCUCUGAAACAAUGGAUGGGCACCAAAUUUUUCAGCCCGCAUUAUUAAAAACAAGGGACAGCAUUGGCUUAUUUCUGCACCACUAUCCCAGUUUCGGUCUGAUUUCAGGUAAUGUGAAGUCCCAUUGAGACACACCUCUGCUCCACAAAAACAUGAACAUUGUUUUAUGUUCUCAUUGAGUCAUUCUGUGAAGACAGCAUAGUUCUCAUUGAAUCAUUCUGUGAGGACAGAAUAGUUCUCAUUGAAUCAUUCUGUGAGGACAGAAUAGUUCUCAUUGAAUCAUUCUGUGAGGACAGAAUAGUUCUCAUUGAAUCAUUCUGUGAGGACAGAAUAGUUUUCAUUGAAUAACUCUGUGAAGACAGCAUAGUUCUCAUUGAAUCAUUCUGUGAGGAUGGAAUAGUUGUCAUUGAAUCAUUCUGUGAGGAUGGAAUAGUUGUCAUUGAAUCAUUCUGUGAGGACAUAGUAAUUCCCAUUGAAUCAUUCUGUGAGGACAGAAUAGUUUUCAUUGAAUCAUUCAACGAAGACUCUGUCAGGCCCUUGCUUAACUAUAAUGCUGGAGCAUUUUCAAAGGAGAAGGUGAAAUGUUGACAUUUCUGAAAUGUCAGAAAUAGCUUAACAUUUUUAUUGCACAAUAUUAAAAUAAAACAAUGCAUUCCAGGAAUUUCAUGACAAUGAUUUUAGUCGAAUGUAUGUAUUUUCAUUUGAAUAAGUCUCUCUGUCUCUCAGUCUGCUGCCAUUGACAUACAGCUAGUGAGUUCGGUUGAAAGUGGCUGAUUGUGGCCACCUAUGGGCCAGGAUGAAAAGCAUAAUGUAAGCAGCAUGCGUGGCGUAUUCUGGGAAGAAAGGCUGAGGAAUGAAUGUUUUCUGGUAUCAUUCAGCUGCCAGAACGCUGUGCCUCUUAAGGGCUUUUCUUGAUGAGCGUUUGUACCGUUAUGUGCGCAAUUUCAACAUACAUGUUUGUUAUAUCACACCUGGGAGCCUUUCCGUUGAUCUAUUGUGUGUUUUAUUGGUUUAUUUAUUUAUUUAUUUAUUAUUGUCGCUGCUGAUGUUGUUGUUUCUAACUCUCGGUCCUCUUGAGUUUGUCAUGUGUGUUGAAUUUUUUUAAUUGAUUGACCUUUACUUAAUUGGACCCGUUUGUUUUACCUGAUAGGUGUCUAAUUGGCAGUGAGAUUUGUGGGUGUGGUGUACUAACUAAGCUGGUAUUUUAUGCGUAUUAUGGAAGCACCACGGGCCGUCUGUGCAUCCCUUUUUUAUUUAUGCUUAUUUAUUAAUCUCUGUGAGGUUCUAGAAUCUACACGUAUGGUCCUGUGUGUGUGAGACAGGGGUACCUCUGGAUGGCAGCCGGCCCAUUACAGAGGACACACACAUAGACACAUAUACCAAUACCAAACAUAACCAUCACACUUGCAUUUACAUUUUUAAUAAGUGCCCUUUUUUCUAUCUUGACAGCUUUAACAUCAUACCGCAUGGUUGCAUUGAGAUUCAUUAUUCAAAAUAUUCGCUUUUACAUGCACAGACUGAGCCAUCGGUUUUAUUACUUAUUGACCUCACCGCUAGGCACAGUUCUCCCCACAGCACCCUGAGGGGCACUAAAAAAAUCACAUAUUCCUGCUGCGCGCUGAAUAACGAUGGUCUCCAACAGGUCGCCUUAUGUUUAGAUUAGGACAGUCUGCUCGUAUGUCCAGAAAUAACAAGAGAUAUUAGUAGAAGAAUGUGUCCCGGGAAACAGGGAGAAACGCUUUCCAUCAUUUACGAUUGUCCAUCGAGGCUCUUGGGCUGUUAUUUGUGAUGUAGGUGUGGCUGUACUUUCAUGAUUGCUUGCAUGCUGUUGAUCUAGUGAGUUGCAAAUCCUGUUCAUUUCAUUCAAUUUCCUCUGUAGCGGCCUACAGUGAGAUUCGUAUGAUAAACACUUGAGAAGCACUUUGAAUGCGAAUGUAGAUUAGGGCACAAGGCAGCUACACACUGGACCAGGAUACCAGUCCAUCACAGGGUUUGCACACAUACACACACAAAAAUACGAUGGUCAAUUUAGAGGAACUACUUAACCUGACUGCAUAGUGUGUGGAUGCCAGAGGACACAGAGAAAACCCUCAUGGCAGAAAGCGCAAACUCCACACACACAAAGCAAGGGUUGAAUCUGAACCCCCAACCCUGGAGAUUCAGGCCCACAGUAUAAUCCACUAAGCCACCAUCUUUCCCACAAGAUAAGUAAAGUAACAUAUCCGGUUGGCAGAGCAGCGAAUGGGAUUUCAUUUGUGUCUGUAGUGUACCAUAAACAUAUUCUGAACAGCUCAUGGCACCUGCUCGAUAGCCAGUUAAUGAUUCUGACAACUGCUCCGUGGCAGAUUAGCUACUUAAGUCAAUUAGCAGUAGCAGCUCACUGUCCGGUUCGUUUUUGUGUUUGCAUUAAUGUAUCAAGACAUUGUCACAAAAAUCCAAAGCAAUAAAUUGAUUGGUCUGUAUGAAUAGGAGGCGGAACCUUUAAGCAGGCAUGUUACGCAAAAUAUAACUGCUGUGAUCCUCAGUUUUAUGCUUAACAUGUAGGAAAUAAAUAUCCAUUUUAUAUAGUACAGGAUGAUAGUGAGUUUGUACCGAGCAGUGGCCAGACCAAGGUGGAGGACACCCUGCAUGGUAGGGCGUACCGAGCAGUGGCCAGACCAAGGUAGAGGACACCCUGCAUGGUAGGGCGUACCGAGCAGUGGCCAGACCAAGGUGGAGGACACCCUGCAUGGUAGGGCGUACCGAGCAGUGGCCAGACCAAGGUGGAGGACACCCUGCAUGGUAGGGCGUACCGAGCAGUGGCCAGACCAAGGUGGAGGACACCCUGCAUGGUAGGGCGUACCGAGCAGUGGCCAGACCAAGGUGGAGGACACCCUGCAUGGUAGGGCGUACCGAGCAGUGGCCAGACCAAGGUGGAGGACACCCUGCAUGGUAGGGCGUACCGAGCAGUGGCCAGACCAAGGUAGAGGACACCCUGCAUGGUAGGGCGUACCGAGCAGUGGCCAGACCAAGGUGGAGGACACCCUGCAUGGUAGGGCGUACCGAGCAGUGGCCAGACCAAGGUGGAGGACACCCUGCAUGGUAGGGCGUACCGAGCAGUGGCCAGACCAAGGUGGAGGACACCCUGCAUGGUAGGGCGUACCGAGCAGUGUCCAGACCAAAGUGGAGGAUUAUCUGUUAAUUCUGUAAACCUUUGUGAACAACUGCAAGAACUACUAAAGUAACAAGUAAUGAAUAACAUAUGUAAAAUACUGAUCUCAUGUUUGUUCAUCAUUAAUGGAUUGUGACUCAUAAUUUAUCCCAAACUGUUACUGUAUUUGUCAGUAUAUUGGUUAAUUCAAUAAAUCUUAAUGUAGUACUGAAGGAACUACUGAUUAACUACUGAAGGAACAAGUAAUGAAUAACACAAGUGAAAUUUGGAUGUCAUGUUUGUUCAUCAUUAAUGAUGAUCAUCUUAAGUAGCGACUAUAUUUGUUCAUGAUUUGUACUUCAGUAGUAAUGGAAAUACUGCCUCUGCUCGUUUGUAAAUUUCUUAAGUAUUUGUGUCCCCUCAAGUAAAGUGUCACCCCCCUGCUGUAUGGGACUCCAUUGCAUUGAAGGUCCCUUGCAUUAUGGGUAAUUUAGAGACAUAGCUGCCUGGUUUAAGGCUUUAGCAGGAAACCCAAUCAAUUAUGGGGAGAACAUGCAAAUCCUACAUACCCAAGGGUGGGAGUCUUACCUACAACCCCAGAGGUUUGAGGCUACAGUGCUACCCUCCGAGCCGCCUUGCCCCCUCAUGACAGACAUCCCUUUCUUUAAAAUACGAUUCACUUUAAUAUGCAUGUAGCUUGUGUCACUGUCAGGAAGCUGCUGGCUAAUUUGAUCCAAAGCACAUGCUUCCAUCUGUCAGUGUGAUUGAAGAAGAGAUUUGAAUUCAUUAUGGGCUAAAUAAAUGUAAGGGAAAACAUUAAAGUUGAGAAAUCAGACUUAUCCAAAAUACAUUCUCCCCAUUUUAUUUUUGUGCCGUGAAUAGAAAGGAUGAACCUAUGACACUGUAGUACUGCAAUCAAUUUUAAAAAGCUGCAUAAAAAUAAAUUAAAGCGGCCUACUGCAUUUGGUUUAGAUAAGUCAUUUUUACGCAACUUCUUUAACAGUGCUUUUCUGUGA